rnacentral:rRNA from 1 species
GUGAGGAAUAUUGGUCAAUGGGCGAGAGCCUGAACCAGCCAAGUCGCGUGAAGGAAGAAGGAUCUAUGGAUCGUAAACUUCUUUUGCAGGGGAAUAAAGUGCGGGACGUGUCCUGUUUUGUAUGUACCCUGAGAAUAAGGAUCGGCUAACUCCGUGCCAGCAGCCGCGGUAAUACGGAGGAUCCGAGCGUUAUCCGGAUUUAUUGGGUUUAAAGGGUGCGUAGGUGGUUUGAUAAGUCAGCGGUGAAAGUUUGCAGCUUAACUGUAAAAAUGCCGUUGAAACUGUCGGACUUGAGUGUAAAUGAGGUAGGCGGAAUGCGUGGUGUAGCGGUGAAAUGCAUAGAUAUCACGCAGAACUCCGAUUGCGAAGGCAGCUUACUAAGCUACAACUGACACUGAAGCACGAAAGCGUGGGGAUCAAACAGGAUUAGAUACCCGUGUAGUCC